ACAACGGGUGGAGCUUGCGGUUAAUUGGAUUCAACGCCGGAAAUCUUACCGGGACCGACAGCGAUAUGAAGGCCAGGCUGAAGACUUUGCCGGAUUAGCUGAGAGGUGGUGCAUGGCCGUCGUCAGUUCGUACUGUGAAGCAUCCUGUUAAGUCAGGCAACGAGCGAGACCCACGCCCACAGUUGCCAGCGUACUCUCCGGAGUGACGGGUACACUGUGGGGACCGCCGCUGCUAAAGCGGAGGAAGGAAUGGGCAACGGUAGGUCAGUAUGCCCCGAAUAUCCCGGGCUACACGCGAGCUACAAUGGUUGGUACAAUGGGUAUCUACCCCGAAAGGGGAUGGAAAUCUCCUAAAGCCAAUCUUAGUCCGGAUUGAGGGCUGCAACUCGCCCUCAUGAAGCUGGAAUCUGUAGUAAUCGUGUCUCAAAAUGGCACGGUGAAUAUGUCCCUGCUCCUU
rnacentral:rRNA from 1 species